rnacentral:tRNA from 1 species
AUUUUAGUAGCUUAAAAUUUAAAGCAUAAUAUUGAAGAUAUUAAUAUAGUGUCAACUCUAAAAUA